rnacentral:lncRNA from 1 species
UCUGACAUCUUUAUUUUGAAACCAAGCAUUUCAUCUCAUCUCCCUACACUUCACUGAUGAAGGUUGCUUGACUGAUGGCCAGAUUGAUUUUUUCACAUAUCCAUUACAAGAUAAAAAUGAAAAGGCAAAAAUCCAGAACCAUAUGUACCAUCCCAAGCAUGAACAGAAGAGCUCCGCGGAGGGGCAAAAAAUGUAUAACCAAUCGAAAACUUUACACUACAUUAGCACAAGUUCACAGUUAACUUCACUUGUGCCAUUGACCAAUUAAUUAGGGACUUCCCUCAAAUUUUCUUCCUAAACAGCCCAGAUCUUCACACCGCGCAGUCUACAACUUGUUGGAUGGUCUAAAACUCUCUAAAUGUUGAGCCACUUCAACUUGACAACAAUCCCACGUUUGGCUCUUGAGCAUAUGGACUACCCUCGGCCUGUAACAAUCACGACUUGCAGGUUCUCUUAUUUCCCUUCAGCAAUGAUCUCCUGUAUCAUGCAAAAACCCGGGUCAGGUGUUUCUCAAGUGAGCACAACACAAGACAGAAAAGAUGAUGACAAAACAAGUAUUAAGAGGUUCAUGGAUCUUCACGUUGUACAUUAGCCUAGCAAGGACCAAGCUUCAGUUGAAACAUUAACAAUUAUUAGCUCUCAACUAAACUCGAGACCUAUAAAUCAUUGCCAAGAUCAUUUUCAAUGGUAGGCAACACCACCAGGUAUGUACACAACAAUAUGACUACGCAUAUCAAUUAGCACUUUGGCAAUCAGCAAGCCAAGAAAAGGUAGUGACCAAACCAAAAUUAAACAAAACAACCAUGCUCAGCAAGAGACCAUCCCUGAUCAUGUAAGAAACACACAUUUCAUGGCGCUUACGCAUGCCAUGGUAAAAAAGGGAGUAUAAUUCUAAAAAGGGAUGCAUCAAUCAAAGAUGGAGUACAGAAUGAGAAAAAGGCCAGUCAAAUGAAGGCUCACCAUGCACUGUUCAAGAUGCACCUCAUAUACUCUGAUAUUUGUCGGCGGCCAAGCUCUACUAGUUCAGCAAUCGCGGUGCUGCCUGGUUUUUAAAGCAUGUCCAUGGCCUUUAUGUAGCACUUCUUCUACUCGAUCAUGCGCCCACGUGGUUCUUGAGCAUUUCGAGUUCCCUCGGCCUUGCAGCAACCAUGACUUACAGGUUGUUCUUUCCCCCUUUAGCAAUGAUCUCUAUAAUAUUCGAAGAACCAGGUCAGGUGUUCCUCUAACAAGCACAAAACAAGACAGAAAGAAGAUGAUAAAAAAUAAGAAGAGGUUCGUGGUUAUCUUCACAUGCAACAACAGUCUAACAAGGACCCAUGGGUCGGAAAUAACCAAAAACUUCAACAGCAGUCUAAAAAGGACCAGGCUUCAAUUGAAGCAUUCACAAUUUGCUCUCAGUAAACCUAUAAAUCAUAGCCAGAUCACAAAUAUACACAACCUCUCAUAGCCAGAGUCUUUAGGCAAUUGGAACCCUACAUCACAAGCUACUCAGAAGAAAUCCCAUAGUUUAGUAUAGUAGAGUUUAAAUCCAGUUAAGCAUAAAAUCAAUAGUAAUGCUCAUUCUCAAAGCCAAUUAUCAAAUUACCAAGUCAGCAUAGACAUUUUUCCUUAGGGAUUGAUUAAGCCCUCGUAUAUUCCAGCAAAACGACAAGGCGUUGGUCCAUUUCGCAAAAAAAUAAAGGAUAAGGAGAGGUUCCAGCCCAAGGGGAACAUGUCUCAAGCAAUUAGCCACACAGCUGCAUGCUGAAGUACUAGCACAUCUAUGUUAUGCAAACUAAAGUCAUGUAUGUAGACUGAUGAAGCCCAAUAUAAUAGUAUUUCAACCCAACGGUACAUUUAUAGAAGUACGGCUCGAUGGCUGUGGGCACACACAUCAUGGGAGAGAGGACAGCAGAGGAAACAACGGCUUUACCUAUGUCGGAGUCAAAUAAGAAGCACCCACUAGAGGGGCAGGCCGGGGGCGCCGACUCGCUGGUGAUGUACUCCCCCAUGCAGAUCAUCUCCCUGUGCAGUGUAUUACUUACUGGAUGGCCUAAAUGUCGAGCCACUUCAACGUGACAACAGUUCCCACGUUUGGCUCUUGAGCAUUUUGACUUCCAUCAGCCUGCAACAACCAUAACUUCCAGGUUUUCUUCUUUCCCUUUAGCAAUGAUGUCCUGUAUUAUUCAAAGAACCGACUUAGGUGUUUCUCAAGCAAGCACAACAUAGGAUAGAAUAAAGAUGAUGCCAAAAUAAGAAGAGGUUCAUGGGUCUAACAAGGACCAUUAGUUGUAAAUAGCAGAUUGCUCAGAACUUCUAAAGCAGUCUAACAAGGACCAAGCUUUAGUUGAAACAUUGAUAAUUUGCUCCCAACUAAACAAGACCUAUAAAUUAUUGAUUUCCAGAGCCCAAAUAUAUACAACCUCGUUAAAAUAGCAGAUUACUCAAGGAUGGAUCUCUAGCUAUGGACAGGGGUGCGUGGAAGCUUGCUAUCCAUGUGCCAGAGCCAUAAGUUGGUUGCGAGAUCUUAUGGGUUUCACCUCUAGCCUACCCCAACUUGUUUAGGACUAAAGGCUUUGUUGUUAUUGUUGUACUCAAGGAUGGAUCUGAAUUCAAACAAGCAGACCAAGUAAAACAUAAAACUCAUCAAAGGACGUCGAUACAUGAUGGCCAUUACAUCAUGCACACACGGAGACUAAAUAAACACUGCUUCAUAACUAGGCAUGACUCUAUGGACCAUAUAAAGUUAGCACCUCAUUUGAAACAAUGCCACAUAAACAAACACACAAGGUUUUCACUCCAUCUGGAGUACCAAAGCACAGAAACACCUGAAAAGAUCAUAUACAUUCAAUGGACUCAAAUAUAUCCUAAAUCAAAAGGGCGGCAACAUCAUUAGAAGUUUAACUAUAACUUUCCUUUAUUCUAAGCCUUUGGCAAUCAUGAAUUGAUCCUAUUUGUGACAGACACAACAAAGAUUUCACAAACAUCGCUUCCAAAAUCCUAGAAUAGUAAAAUUCUGAAACAUAACAACAAAUUCUAUUAAAAAUCAUAGUAGUUUCAAAUACCAUGACACUUCGUCAUCGGUGCCAGCACAGCUGUGUUCUGUGAAGCAAAGACUUGUAUGUAGUUUACUGAAGUUGAGACACCAAUCUUACGAAAACAAUUGCAUUGAUGUUCACAAACUAACAGUUUAUCGAUAAUCUCAUAUAAAGAAUGGCAGUUCCAUUGUGAGCAUUUAAGAGUCACUUAGGCCCCAAGUUUCUAUCAGUUUAACAUUAAUCCAUAGCUCGAAGCAGUAGAGGACAGGCCACAAAGUACUAGGUCCUAGAGCAGACAUAGGAGGAAGGAGAGACCAGUAACUCACCUAUGCCGGAGUCAAAGAAGAAUCGCCCACGAGAGGGGCAGGGCAGGGGCGCCGACUCGCUAGUGAUGUACUCCCAUGUGUAGAUCAUCACACCAUGUAGUGUAUGACUUACUAGAUGGUCUAAAUGUUGAGCCACUUCAACUUGACAACAAUCUCCACAUGGCUCUUGAGCAUAUCGAGUCCUCUGCGUGCAACAAACGACGACUUCAAGGGUUUUGCCCCUUCACCUAUGAUCUCCUGUAAUAUUCAAAGAACUGGGCCAGGUCUUUCUCUAAUGAGCACAGCACAAGACAGAAAAAUGAUGAUGCAAAAAUAAGUAAACAGUGGUUUAUGAGUCUAAACGGGACCCAUGAGUUGGAAAUAGCAGACUACUCAAAACUUCUACAACAGUCUACCAAGGAUCAAGCUUCAGUUGUAACAUUGACAAUUUGCUCUCAACUAAACUUGAGACCUAUAAAUCAUUGCCAGAUCACAAAUUAUUUAACUUAUCAAAGCCACAAUCUUCAGCCAAAGUCUGUACAAUAACAACAGAUUUUAUAGAAAAUCAAAGUGGUUUCAAAUGCCAUGACAUUUUGUCAUCGGCACUAGGACAACUAUCUUCUGCAAACCAAGCUCAUGUAUGUAGACUAUAGACGUUAUCAAUAAUAUGAUUGCAUAUCAUUUGUACAGAGGACGUUCGCUAGAUCUCUUCAUUAAUAAGAGAAAUAGAUGAUCAAAGAUUUUAGAGCUAGUACAAGUAAAAGUCCAAGUAAUUUUAUUUGCGAGGACAAAAGUCAGAAUAAUUCAUAUGUCCCCAGGUGAGAUCAAAUCAAGUUAAAGAAAAAAAUCAUUUCUUUUAUCAUGACAGGAACAUAUAUAACAAAUCAAAUCAUGACUUUUGAAGCACCAGCAACAAAAAGCCAUGAGUAAGUAUUGACUGGAUGUGUCCAGCUCUGCCAAAAUGUCACGCCACAGCAAAAUGGAAUUCAUUCAUUCAUAGAAGAAUUAUAAGCUACAGCAAGAAUAGCAUCACGUCCAUCAUCUCAUAGCUCAGAAGAAUGAAUGAACAGGGUCAGCUACAUAUACUAGUCACUCUCAGGUUAGCACAUGUUAGAACCAAUCCCACAAUGUCAUUUCAAUAACCAGAUUAACAUGAGUAGCAAAUGUACUCCCUCCAUAAAGAAAUAUAAGAGAAUUUAGAUCACUACUUUAGUGAUCUAAACACUCUUAUAUUUUUUCACAGAGAGAGUAUGUCAGAAACAAACAGACGAUAGACAUCCUUCCAAAAAACCAUGAGACCAUUACCCACCUGCGGUUGCAGAGAGGAGCUCCAAAUCGGUCCUUGGUCGGCGAGCCCCUGAAAACAGGUUUCUUCUAGUUACUAUCAAUAUCAUGAAGGAGGCACAUCAUAUCAGUAGAACGGAUACAGAAACCUCUUGAAUUAUCAUACUAGCGCCAUUAAUUUAAUUAACCAUACAACGGAUAUAUAACUCAUGACGCCAUAAAACAGAUACAAUGUUUGACCUCAAAUAAUGCAUGUAGCAGCAUACAAUAAGUGUAGCAUUUUCACAAGAGGUGUAAUAUUUUCACACGGAUAAUAAAGGUAUAAUACCAGCUAGUUAAAAUUAACAUCCCAGCCACACCCCAACAACUGUAGCACCACAACCAACCCCUAAAGCUUGAUUUUCCUAAUUAUUAGUGAAUCGAGUACAACGGGAAAAAUUACCACUUUGACCAAAGAUAUCGACCAAACCAACCACGAGGGAGGACUCACGUCAGAAGACCAUGCAUUGCAGCAGCAGCAAAACAACUAAGAAGCAGCAAUGCCUCUUUGAAAAUGCAUCUUUAAGCAGCAGCAAUGCAUAGGUCCAAUCUCCAUAGGAAAACAACUACAUACGACAGUUCAGCAUCUCGGUCUUAGAUUCUCAGGACACGGCUAAAUAGGCAAGGCAGCUCACCGACAUCAAAAACUUAUUAUCGGCAUCGUCAUUGCAUAGAUACAUGUGCAGUAAGUAAAACCGUGGAGGUGGGGGGACUGACCGACGUCCAUAGAACCCAAUUAGUUAACGACCUCCCAUCUUGUUGGCUUUGACAGGAGGUACCAGCCCUGGGCGCGCAGGCUGGAGAGGGUGCCCGCCAGGACGGUGUAUUUCAUGUUCUUGUCGGUUGACACGUGUGCAAAUGUUGACGCCUUUGAACCACUUACAGUAUUCGACUGGGACCAUGUAAGAAUUAGAUCAGCUCUCCUUAGCUUCACGACCCAUAGAAGAUGUAUAAUGAUGUAUCCCAG